GUACAAAAAUCAUGUUAUAGAUUGAAGCUUAUUUACUUUAAAUUUUUCUAUUUUCCACUUUUAAACACUAUCCCAAAAAGAAAAGGAAGCGUAACAGUUUUUUUGUAGUGCAUGAUUACAUUAAUAGUGGGAAUUUGGUACAUUCACAUAACACAUCUUAAUUCUUUUCCAUCCCCUUCUGCUCCCUGCCCUCCCCUUCCUUACAUCUCUUGGUCCACUUCCCUUUUGCAAAGAUCUAGUACGUUUAGGUCAGCGCUUGGCGCUUGGCGGGCGGCGCGCGCUGAGGAGGGGGGAAGGGAGGGGGAAGGGGAAGGUGGGAAGGAAGCGAUCAGCAGGAGGGUGGGCGGAGCUGGCGGUGACGUUGCUCGGGCUGCUGCCCCAGUGUGCGCUCAGGGUCUUGCUGGCGUCUCUGGAACCUGCGCUCUGCGAAACACUUCUGACACCAAAGGUGUGGGUUUUCUACACCAAGAAGUUCUCUGUGGAUACCAACUGAGUGUUCUACAAUUUAACUUUGAACUACUGUACUAA
rnacentral:lncRNA from 1 species